UACUAGCCCUGACUGAAAUGAUAUCCUUUUUCUUUUUAGAAAAAGAUAUAAUGAAAGGCAGGAACAAGG
rnacentral:sRNA from 1 species